UACGAAGGGGGCUAGCGUUGUUCGGAAUCACUGGGCGUAAAGGGUGCGUAGGCGGGUCUUUAAGUCAGGGGUGAAAUCCUGGAGCUCAACUCCAGAACUGCCUUUGAUACUGAGGAUCUUGAGUACGGGAGAGGUGAGUGGAACUGCGAGUGUAGAGGUGAAAUUCGUAGAUAUUCGCAAGAACACCAGUGGCGAAGGCGGCUCACUGGCCCGUUACUGACGCUGAGGCACGAAAGCGUGGGGAGCAAACAGGG
rnacentral:rRNA from 1 species